AACCUUCCUCAGAGCGGGGGAUAGCCCAGAGAAAUUUGGAUUAAUACCCCAUAGUAUUGUUUGAUGGCAUCAUUAGACAAUUAAAGAUUUAUCACUCUGAGAUGGCUGUGCGUCUGAUUAGGUAGUUGGCGGGGUAAUGGCCCACCAAGCCUUCGAUCAGUAACUGGUGUGAGAGCACGACCAGUCACACGGGCACUGAGACACGGGCCCGACUCCUACGGGAGGCAGCAGUAAGGAAUAUUGGUCAAUGGACGCAAGUCUGAACCAGCCAUGCCGCGUGGAGGAUGAAGGUCCUCUGGAUUGUAAACUUCUUUUAUUGGGGAAGAAAUGCACGUUUUCUAACUUGCUUGACAGUACUCAAUGAAUAACCACCGGCUAACUCCGUGCCAGCAGCCGCGGUAAUACGGAGGGUGCAAGCGUUAUCCGGAUUUACUGGGUUUAAAGGGAGCGCAGGCGGGCUGAUAAGUCAGUGGUGAAAUCCCCGAGCUUAACUUGGGAACUGCCAUUGAUACUAUUGGUCUUGAAUGUUGUGGAGGUAAUCGGAAUAUGUCAUGUAGCGGUGAAUGCAUAGAUAUGACAUACAACACCUAUUGCGAAGGCAGCUUACUACGC
rnacentral:rRNA from 1 species